GCUUACGGCCAUACCACCCUGAGCGCGCCCGAUCUCGUCUGAUCUCGGAAGCUAAGCAGGGUCGGGCCUGGUUAGUACUUGGAUGGGAGAACGCCUGGGAAUACCAGGUGCUGUAAGCU
rnacentral:rRNA from 1 species